rnacentral:rRNA from 1 species
AUUGAACGCUGGCGGCAGGCCUAACACAUGCAAGUCGAACGAGUGGCGGACGGGUGAGUAAUGUCUGGGAAACUGCCUGAUGGAGGGGGAUAACUACUGUAAACGGUCGCUAAUACCGCAUACCAUCGGAUGUGCCCAGAUGGGAUUAGCUAGGAGGUGGGGUAACGGCUCACCUAGGCGACGAUCCCUAGCUGGUCUGAGAGGAUGACCAGCCACACUGUAACUGAGACACGGUCCAGACUCCUCCGUGAGGCAGCAGUGGGGAAGAUUGCACAAUGGGCGCAAGCCUGAUGAAGCCAUGCCGCGUGUAUGAAGAAGGCAUUCGGGUUGUAAAGUACUUUCAGCGGGGAGGCGUUACCCGCAGAAGAAGCACCGGCUAACUCCGUGCCAGCAGCCGCGGUAAUUG